AAACCAUAAAGAGAGAUUGAGGGACAGGCCCUAUGAUAUCUCAGCAACCUGCAGAAUGUGUGGUGCUAACGCCUGAAUGAUGGAAG
rnacentral:ncRNA from 2 species